GCCGCGUUUCUGGUCCGGCUUCGCGCGCUGCCCGCCCGCUCCUGCCGCGCCCGCCUCCGUCGCCGCCGUCGCCCGUGCCCCCGCUCCGCUCCGCGGUGCCGCCGGACCAGCACCAUGUCGCUGUCGCGCACGGAGGAGAUGCACCGGCUCACGGAAAAUGUCUACAAGACCAUCAUGGAGCAGUUCAACCCCAGCCUUCGGAACUUCAUCGCCAUGGGGAAGAACUACGAGAAAGCCCUGGCAGGUGUGACCUACGCUGCUAAGGGCUAUUUUGAUGCCCUCGUGAAGAUGGGCGAGCUGGCCAGCGAGAGCCAGGGCUCCAAGGAACUCGGAGACGUUCUCUUUCAGAUGGCUGAAGUCCACAGACAGAUUCAAAAUCAGUUGGAAGAAAUGCUGAAGUCCUUCCACAACGAGCUGCUCACACAGCUGGAGCAGAAGGUGGAACUGGACUCCAGGUACCUGAGCGCUGCGUUGAAGAAAUACCAGACGGAGCAAAGGAGCAGGGGCGAUGCGCUGGACAAGUGCCAGGCCGAGCUGAAGAAGCUUCGCAAGAAGAGCCAAGGCAGCAAGAACCCGCAGAAGUACUCGGACAAGGAGCUGCAGUACAUUGACGCCAUCAGCAACAAGCAGGGCGAGCUGGAGAACUACGUGUCGGACGGCUACAAGACCGCGCUCACCGAGGAGAGAAGGAGGUUCUGCUUCCUGGUGGAGAAGCAGUGCGCCGUGGCCAAGAACUCCGCCGCCUACCACUCCAAGGGCAAGGAGCUGCUGGCACAGAAGCUGCCGCUGUGGCAACAGGCCUGCGCCGACCCCAACAAGAUCCCGGAGCGCGCGGUGCAGCUGAUGGCCAGCAGCAACGGCUCCGUCCUCCCCAGCGCCUUGUCGGCCUCCAAGUCCAGCCUGGUCAUCUCAGACCCCAUUCCGGGGGCCAAGCCUCUGCCGGUGCCCCCUGAGCUGGCCCCGUUUGUGGGGCGGCUGUCCGCCCAGGAGAGCGCGCCCGUCAUGAAUGGCGUCUCGGGCCCUGAUGGCGAGGACUACAGCCCCUGGGCCGACCGCAAGGCCGCCCAGCCUAAGGCCUCGUCCCCACCACAGUCACAGAGCAAGCUGAGCGACUCCUACUCCAACACGCUCCCCGUGCGCAAGAGCGUGACACCGAAAAACAGCUACGCUGCCACUGAGACCAAGACCCUGCCCCGCUCCAGCUCCAUGGCAGCCGGCCUGGAGCGCAACGGCCGCAUGCGAGUGAAAGCCAUCUUCUCCCACGCGGCCGGGGACAACAGCACCCUGCUGAGCUUCAAGGAGGGCGACCUCAUCACCCUGCUAGUGCCCGAGGCCCGUGACGGCUGGCACUACGGGGAGAGCGAGAAGACAAAAAUGCGGGGCUGGUUUCCGUUCUCCUACACCCGGGUUCUGGACAGCGACGGCAGCGACAGGUUGCACAUGAGCCUGCAGCAGGGAAAGAGCAGCAGCACGGGCAACCUCCUGGACAAGGAGGAGCUGGCACUGCCACCGCCCGACUACGGCACGUCCUCGCGCGCCUUCCCUGCCCAGACGGCCGGCACCUUCAAGCAGAGGCCCUACAGCGUGGCUGUGCCUGCCUUCUCCCAGGGUCUAGACGACUAUGGAGCGCGGGCUGUGAGCAGCGCCGAUGUGGAAGUGGCCAGGUUCUGAGCCGCCCCUGACUAGAGUUAGAUGCAGAGAGGCUUCCAUUUCCAACCCCCCCUCCGACGCCCCACCGCUGCCCCCGCUGCCCCCAUCGCUCUGAGCUGCAGGCCUGGCCUCUGCCUGGGACCACGUCCCCCGGUGUAGGACGGGGCCCCGGGGGCACGGUGGGCAUCAGCACAGCGCCACCAGCCAGCCUCCCAGCCGCAGAAUCAGCCUGGCUCCAAGAUUCGGCUGGGGGUGGGGUGCCAAAAGUCCCCCGGGUCGGUCAAAGCACCCGGACCAAGCCUGCCUGAGGUGUGGCCCUGGGGGGACCGAACGACAAGGAUCCGAUCCCAGAAGGGCCGAAGUCCCGAAGGCACGGCAACCGCUUUGGUCUCGGAGGAGGAAGUUCAGGAGGAAGUGGAAAUGCACCCCGGCCGCUCCCUCACUCUGCUCCAGGAUCACCGAAGGACGGAAACCGUACCCUGUGAGGAGACGCGGCCGUUCCCAGCCGACCCGGUUCUCGCUCAGUUGGCGGAUUCGAAACAAUUACAGGCGACUCCCUAAACCCUCGGCAUAGCGCUUCCCUUGAGAUUGGAACGGAAAGGCGCUCGGCCCUCCUCGGGCUGCAGGGUUUGCAGGCGGGGGCUGUGGGCUCAGGACCCCGCGAUGCCCCCAAGGGCUGCCCCUUGAAUGCAGCGCCGGACCCUCCGGGGGCUUCAGCCUGCCCUGCCUGCGGGAGGAGCCUGGACGGCUCCUGUGGCCUCUGCUCGGUUCCGUCCGCUGAGUUUGCUUACGUCUUGGUGGUUUGCUGCCGGGCGUCCACCCCUGGCAAGCACCCCAAGCGGGGACAAAUGUCCCCGGGGCCAGAGACUGGGCCUUGGGUCUGAACUUAGUCCUGUUUUGCCAUCUUGGUGUUGACCCGCCCAGGGUCGCACUGACACCCUCCCGUUCCUUCACAGAAGGUGGUAGGCGCCCUAGACGCCCCCACCCAGGGGCCUCUGGUCGGGGCUGGGCUGGGCGCGGCUGCAGGGGGAGGCCGGGGGCGUCUUCAGCCCGCAGUGUUGACGGUGCGUGCUCCCCGCUCACCCUGUUUGGGGGAAGAUGAAGAAAGUGGGGCUCAGAGGCCAGACAUCGUCUUGCGGGGAGGCCUGUCUGGCUGUGCUGCUGCCCCGACCCACCUGGCCUGACCCCUCUGUACUGGCUCCAGCCAGCACAGGAGCUGCCCUCCCUCCCCGGGCUUAGGGCCUGAGCUCCGUCCUCGGCUCGGUCCCCAACUCCAGAUGAACAAGAUUGGCCGAGUUCCAGCCCCCCAGGGCAUCUGCCUUGACCCGGGCCGGGAACAGCCAAGGCCCGGAGCCUUCCUUCAGAACCAGAGUCUAGGCAAGGUGGCAGUCAGGGCACGGGCCACCGCCCUGUCCCGGGGGCGGAUGUCACUGGUCACAGGAGACUUGGCCUUGGGAGCUUCCAGGCGGCCAAAAAGCUGAAACUCGUCUGUACGCGUCAGCGGAACAGAGCGCCAGAGCGCAUGGAGGAGCCUGAGGCCCCACGUGGGGCUGCAGUGGCCUCGAAGCCAGGGGUCGAUGACUCAGAGGACAGUCGUAAGCAGCGUGCCCACACGGGACUCUCAGCCAUCAUCCCGGAGACGGGGACGGGGACUUCAUUCGCCAAGAAGUUAGCUACUGUCUGCCGCUGCUCCUCUUAAAAGUUCAGUCCCAAGUGUCUCAGUUUUUUAGAAAACACAGGGAGGCGCCCCCGCCCCACACGCUCUCCCUGGGCACUGGACAGAGCGCCUGCCCGCCGCGUGGACACCAGCCCAGCUGCGCCAGAGGCGACUCCGGCCCCAGGAAUCCCUUCGCCAACGUCCAGCUGAAGCCGACAGUGACCAACGACAGGUCCGCCCCCCUCCUCAGCUGAUGGCCAAGUCCCCACCGCUGCCCGCCAGGACCCUCCUGCCCCGCCCACACACACAACCUCUUUUGUAACAAUCUGCGUGGUCCCCAUUUGGAGAAUUUUCUCCUUCACCUGCCUGGCUCUGCCCCCACCGGAGUCUGGCCUGGGCUGGACCCCGGCUGUUUUCGGAGGUGGCCCCUGGGCCAUGGCUGAGGAGAGUGGGGCCGACAGUGGCCCCCGCUCGUGCAGGGAGGGACGCUCCACCAGCCCCACGUGUCUGGUCAAUAAACAGGCUGCCCCAC